rnacentral:rRNA from 1 species
GACGAACGCUGGCGGCGUGCCUAAUACAUGCAAGUCGAACGCAGUGGGGACGGGUGCGUAACACGUGGGUAACCUCCCAUCAGAGGGGAUAACACUUGGAAACAGGUGCUAAACCGAUACUGAUGGAUGGACCCGCGGGGCAUUAGCUAGUUGGUGAGGUAACGGCUCACCAAGGCCACGAUGCAUAGCCGACCUGAGAGGAGGAUCGGCCACACGGGGACUGAGACACGGCCCAGACUCCUACGGGAGGCAGCAGUGGGGAAUAGUGGAAAAUGGACGAAAGUCGGACCGAGCAACGCCGCGUGGGUGAAGAAGGUGUUCGGAUCGUAAAACACUGUUGGUAGGGAAGCGGUAACUAAAGAAAAAGCAACGGCGAACUACGUGCCAGCAGCCGCGGUAAUAC